AGCAGCCGCGGUAAUUCCAGCUCCAAUAGCGUAUAUUAAAGUUGUUGCAGUUAAAAAGCUCGUAGUUGAAUUUCGGGAUCGACGGGUCGGUCGCGCCUCUGGUGUGUACUGGCCCUGUCGGUUUCUCCCUUCUGACGAACCACGAUGUCAUUAAUUUGGUGUCGUGGGAAAUCAGGACUGUUACUUUGAAAAAAUUAGAGUGUUUAAAGCAGGCAUUCGCUUGAAUACAUUAGCAUGGAAUAAUGAAAUAGGACGUUUGAUCUUAUUUUGUUGGUUUCUAAGAUCGACGUAAUGAUUAAUAGGGAUAGUUGGGGGCAUUAGUAUUCAAUUGUCAGAGGUGAAAUUCUUGGAUUUAUUGAAGACUAACUACUGCGAAAGCAUUUGCCAAGGAUGUUUUCAUUAAUCAAGAACGAAAGUUAGGGGAUCGAAGACGAUCAGAUACCGUCGUAGUCUUAACCAUAAACUAUGCCGACUAGGGAUCGGAUGAUGUUAAUUUUU
rnacentral:rRNA from 1 species